ensembl:lncRNA
AUGACUUAUUCCGAACUGACCCAUGCGUUCUCUUUAGACCCGGGGACGGACCUGGAAGAUGUGCUUCGUGAGUUUGACGACGUGGUGGAGGAACUCAAAGCGCCUUGCAGAAGCAGCUCUGGUGCGACCCAACAUCUCCUUGAAGAGGGGAUACGCGGCGCGUCGAGCGACUAUUACAGCAUUAGUGGCGAUAGUGGCGUCGAGGACUCGGAUUACUGCAGCGAAGCUUCUCUGGGUAACAGUUUGAACACCAGCCAAGAGGAGCUCCGCCCAGCGGGCAUCUCGCUGACAGCUAAAGCGCGGCUGGGAGACACGGUGGAUCUUCAGAGCUUCAUCGACAGCUUGGACCGGGAGCUCUCUGAGAUGUGAACGGAGAGGGGAACACAGCAGAGAGAGAGCGGGAGAGAGAGAGAGAGUGAGAGGUGAGAAGAGGAGGGCAUUGGGUAACACAAGCGUAGCCCCACAAUAUCUAAACAGAUCUGCAAGGUGGGGGUGAGGGUCGGGUGAGGUUGGGGUGGAGGGGGGGAGGGGGUAAAGGUCCACAUAUCCCUGGUCGCCCCAGUAGGGAAAAGGUUAACGCUUAGCUAUUAAAGGGCAUGCUGUUCCCUUACGUACAUCUGCCACCGGCGCUGAACCUCUCAUCCCUCCAACGUGCUCUCUAACGCCCUCUCCCACCAGACUCCGCAGACCCCAGCAGGGUCAGAUCCAGGGAAGAGGACGGGAUCCAGGGGAGAGGGGGGAAGGAGUGAGGAGAGGGUCCAUCUGCCACAGAGCAUGAGAGGGCUGCAUCUAGAGAGUUGGGGGGCCUUGUUUGUGCCACGUUUUCAAAUUCCCUCGAAUGCCACGCCAGUAAUCCGCUUGCAAUCCUUCUGGCAAUUUCUUUUUUUUUUAUAAAAUGAUGAAUUCCUUUCUGUCUUGAUGCAUUUCCACCAGCUGGGCUUUAAGACCGUCUUGCAUUUUUAAGAAGGAGCCGAUGUUUAUGUUCGGAUGGCAAUGAAUUUAGUCUGAAUUUUUUGUUCAUAUUGUUUCAUAUUGUAUAGUUUGUGCAAUUGUCAAACUUUGACGCUCUCGUCACCAUCAUAUUCGACAGAAAAGUGGACAAAUUAAAACAACUUUUAAUGAUAUUGCUAUUGUAUUAUUUCCUCCUGUGUCAUAUUACAUGUAGUUUUUAAUACUUCUUACAGCGACAGCAGUGACAGUAAUAUAUUAAAAGAUAAUCCCAAAAUAAUAAGCAUAUUUAACGUCACAUCCAUCUGUACACAGUGAAGAAAAGAAAAAAGGUUAAUACUUUAAACUUGCUUGUGCUACCUGAUCACAGCUCGCAUUAAUUGAACCCCGGCCAAAGAAUACAUGAAGAAUGCGUCAUUAGUGCACACAGUCACACAAUGGUUUACAAACUCGUUUCUUUUCUUCCUUUGCAUGUAAUCUCUUUGCCAUGAAGAACCUGGACAUUUCUGUACCAUUAAUGCUGGUUUCAAUUGAACAAAAAUAAACGUCCCCGGAAUUCAACCUUGUUGGAGCAUUUUGCAUAAAUGAGGAUGGAAGCGACGCCAUGUCAUUUGAUAUUCAUCCGUCUUUGUAUUCAUUGGGUUCACCUGCUUCUUCCACAGCCACCGUCGCUGCUGCGUCUAUCGCUGCUGUCAUUUUAUUAUACGGGUGCAACAGAUGCUGGCAGUUUAUACCAGUCUGUAUACGUCUAUCUCAGCAGCAGCCAGGGUAGUCAAAGCUCAAAGCAACACGUUGUUGGGUGGAGAGAUGACACAGGCAAUGCUGGCUGCUCUCGUGCCACAUUUGGCAGCUCUGUUUUCUCACUGAGCUUUCCAUUUCUAACUGGGAGCAUCAUCUGGCCACCACCACCACCACCACCACCUCCAUUCUGCUGAACAAUUGAACGCGCACCCGACAAGCUGAGGUCGAGGGGGAGUUGGAUGGUGGCGCUUGUCAUUCUUGCCAUAACAAAAGGAUUAUUCAGUUUUCCCUAUGACUUUCCAUUUGCCCAUUGUCUUGAUGGCUUAUUCCAACGAAGCUUGAUUUAUAAAGCUUUUAAUUUUUUUUGCGCUGUUCGAACCCCAAAAAAUAAAAACAAGAAAAAGCGUCUGUUUUUUAAAGCAGUUUGUUUAUCCCCAUACUUGCUUGGUAUUGCGUAUCAUAUUACAUCGCCCAUAGCGCGCACGUCAACAAAGGGAGGAGGACAGGCUGUACGUUCAGCAUACUGUUGACUGCCUCUUUAUGUCUCAUUAUUGGACACUCUGCCCAGGGAGUCCACUUCUUCCUCUGCACUCUGACCCAGUCACUUAACCCCAAACUGCGGGCCAACAGGGGGCUUGGCAGAGGGAUGGUGGGGGGGGGGGGGGGCGAUGGGAGAGCACAAGGUUA